rnacentral:other from 1 species
GGUUAUCUGCAGCGUGCGAUGGGGCAUAAAUCCCACGGACCGUACAUCACCACGAGGGAGCUGCCUCUGCUAGGGACCCUGGUCCUCUGUAUGCGGCGCCCACCUGCACCGUCGGGUCAGUGGGGAUUUACAUGCCUUGCCGGCGCAGGUGGAGCCGCC